UGAGCACUUCGAGCACUGACUUUCAGUGUUCGAAGUGCGCCACUGAAAAAAACAGCAGAAUUCAGUGCACUGAAAGUACCCGGAUGGUGCACUGCAAACGGGCAAAAAAUGUAGUGUAAAACGAUGGACACUACUCGCCCUAAGCGGCCGCCAUCUUGGCGACGUAGCGGAAGAGGAGGAGCCCUUUCGCCAGCUUUUCAUUUUAUUUCUAAAACAAUGGCGGACAGCACAAGCGGUAGACCACGAAGCUACAGACCGUAAAUAGACGUUUCCUGGAGGUGCUGGUGCUGGUCCUCUGCUGCCCUCCCGACAUCUGCAUCUGGCUCCAAUGACCUCUGGCACCUCACAUCCACCUCCAGGGCCUUUAAGAAGAUGGACCGCCAUCGCGUCUUCAGUAUCCCGAAGGACCUCUCCACAACACACCUCGCCUUUGACAGGCAGCAGUUGUAGCUUGGAGGUGGUUGCGGACAGGCUGCCUGAAGGGGGUCAUGAGGCAGAUGGGUUGGGACAGGCAGGGGGAGCCACCAUCCCCAAGGAUACAGUAUCCUGGAGGAGGGGAUGACUGCUCAUAGAAGAUGGGGCUGUUAUUCAGGACCCUGGCAUCAUGCACUGAGCCCCGGGGCCUGUCGAAGGCCCUGGCCACCACCCGAUAGGAGGUGGCGCUGGCAAGCCAAAAAAUAAAAACUAGACAGGAGAUCUCAGGGCCCCAACCGUGGUCAGUCAGUGCCCAGCACAGCCAUGAGGGCGUUGAAUGACUCGGUGAGCCUGAAGUCCACCCUCAUGUCACUGUGGCCAUCACAAUACAACGCCAGCAGUGGCAUUGCAACAUUGAUACGGCAGCGCCGCCUGGGACUGGGUGGAUGCUGUAGAGUGUGGGGAGGGGAGGGGAAGGGAAGAUUAUAUUAAUAUGCAAGUCAUUUUAUCAAUAAAAUGUCAUUGAGG